rnacentral:pre_miRNA from 1 species
GCGGGUAUGGUUGUGUUCCAAAGCCGGUAGUGAUAGCGACACUUUGGCACAAUCACACCUGCUC